CAGCAGCCGCGGGAAAACGUAGGGGGCAAGCGUUAUCCGGAAUUACUGGGUGUAAAGGGAGCGUAGACGGUUAAACAAGUCUGAAGUGAAAUGCCGGGGCUCAACCCCGGAGCUGCUUUGGGAACUGUAGAACUGGAGUGUCGGAGGGGUAAGCGGAAUCCCCAGUGUAGCGGUGAAAUGCGUAGAUAUUGGGAGGAACACCGGCGGCGAAGGCGGCUUACUGAACGACAACUGACGUUGAGGCUCGAAGGCGUGGGUAGCAAACAGGAUUAGAUACCCCGGUAGUCCCUGUCUCUUAUAA
rnacentral:rRNA from 1 species